rnacentral:lncRNA from 1 species
AUGAGCCUUUCACAUUGUUGUGAUAAUAGUGCAUCUGCUGAGUCAGUAUCUCUCUCUUUUUUUUUUAAUACCCCAUUUCCAGCAAGCUUGUUGCCCAGUUCCUGCUCACAACCAGGGAACGGCUGUAAGUCAAUGGAAAAAAAGAACAACGAGAAGUGCAAUCGCAGCCUCUGCUUGUGGUAUGACAGACUAUGCAGGCUCUGGGACUACCAUGCCAUCCUAUUCUACUCUGCUUUCAGGCUGCAAUUAGAAGUUGCAUUGGGAAGAAGCAACUUCCAUGCAAAGAUGUGGAUGGAACAUGAAUACUAUUCCAGUCUGCAAGUGUGA